rnacentral:sRNA from 2 species
AUGACUUAUGAUAAAGCUGUAAUUAUUUCAUAGUAAUUACCAUAAAAGAAUAAUCAAAAAGGAAUUAUGAUAUAAU